rnacentral:rRNA from 1 species
GCAUAUCAAUAAGCGGAGGAAAAGAAACUAACAAGGAUUCCCUUAGUAACGGCGAGUGAACCGGGAAGAGCUCAAAUUUGUAAUCUGGCGUCCUUCGGGCGUCCGAGUUGUAAUCUAAAGAGGUGUUUUCCGCGCCGGACCAUGUUUAAGUCUCCUGGAACGGAGUAUCAAAGAGGGUGACAAUCCCGUGCUUGACAUGACGACCGGUGCUAUGUGAUACAUCCUCAACGAGUCGAGUUGUUUGGGAAUGCAGCUCUAAACGGGUGGUAAAUUCCAUCUAAGGCUAAAUAUUGGCGAGAGACCGAUAGCGAACAAGUACCGUGAGGGAAAGAUGAAAAGCACUUUGGAAAGAGAGUUAAACAGCACGUGAAAUUGUUAAAAGGGAAACGAUUGAAGUCAGUCGUGCACUUGGUAUUCAGCUGUCUCUGGCAGUGUAUUUGCCUUGUGCGGGUCAACAUCAGUUCUGAUCGACGGAAAAGGGCUGGAAGAAGGUGGCACCCUCGGGUGUGUUAUAGCUUCCUGUCGUAUACGUCGGUUGGGACUGAGGAAUGCAGCUUGCCGCAAGGCCGGGGUUCGCCCACGUUCAAGCUUAGGAUGUUGACAUAAUGGCUUUAAACGA